rnacentral:lncRNA from 1 species
UUGGAAGAAUAUCCUCCAAAAGCUUUAGUAUACAGUUCACUCCAUUAUUAUUAAAUCCAUUAGAGUAUUUCGCAUGAUACUAUCAGAUUACGAACUUAAGCUUCGCCAUCUUUUCACACCUAGGAUACAAUGGAAUAUUAACAUCUUCCAUCAACUUAUGGGCCUUCUUUAUAUCCUUACUGUUUGUCAUGCCACCAACCAC